CAGUGCACCGCGGCAGCCGCCCUCUAUAAAGGCGGCCUCCUCGGCGGCUCCUCCUCUCACUCCGUUAGCCUGCGCCAUGGAGCCGUGCCGGCGGUCCUCCUCUCUCCGAGUCGCUGGCUAGAUCACUGGACGGACCUGAUGGGAUAAAUCAUCUGAACACCAGAGGCCGAGCCUCUGAGAAGCUGCUCCGGAGCCGACUGAGCCUCUGAGAAGCUGCUCCGGAGCGACGAUGCUGCCGUCAGGCUGAAGGGCCUGUGUCUGCAGCAGCUCGCCUGUAGGGGGCAGUCACCUGUGGAGUCUCUGUGCCAUCCUGCCGUGGAGCUGCGACCACGCCGUCGUCCCGCCUCCAUGGAUGCUUGUGGUUGUUGGUGCCAGUGCCAGCAGAUGAUGCUGCAUGAGCCAGUGUUAUUCUGAACAUCACUGAGGUCCAGCAGUCACAUUGAGGCCUCCUCUUCAGAGACCUGAUGUAUGGAGAACAAGUUCAGACCUGACUUAUCAUGGAAAAUCAAUAAAAAUCAUUCAGUGAAAA